rnacentral:lncRNA from 1 species
AUUAGUUUAACUCAUUAGUGUACAUUUAGCUGUAGCAUAUGUGCGUUUGGUUUUUCUGUAGUGUUUGGUGUCUGUAAGAAGAUGAUACUUCACAUCUAAACGACGUUCCUCUUAAUAAGAUAGUUCCUUCAGCAGUGGGCAGGACUAACUCACAAGCCGUAAUCCCAUUGGUUGAGAUGUGAUUAAUAACCCGACACCUGUCAGAGAUUAGUGUAACAAACAAGAAGUUGCACUAGCAUGUGAGUACAGAGAAAAGUCAUCUUUGAAUGUGGAUAUUUCUGGUUCAGAGCUGCGCAGGGGAGCAAGCGCUGAACCCU